CCGUAGCCUCGGAGUGGGGAAUAACACAACGAAAGCUGUGCUAAUACCGCAUGAUACAGUUGAGUCGCAUGACUCUGACUGUCAAAGAUUUAUCGCUCUGAGAUGGCCUCGCGUCUGAUUAGCUAGUUGGUGGGGUAACGGCCCACCAAGGCGACGAUCAGUAGCCGGACUGAGAGGUUGACCGGCCACAUUGGGACUGAGACACGGCCCAG
rnacentral:rRNA from 1 species